rnacentral:rRNA from 1 species
ACCUACGACCAGGACACAUAGGUAAGUUCGGGAUCCCGUCCGCUCUCCCCUAGACAAACCAGCGACGGCCAGACUAGUAGUUGGGUCGGUGACGACCAGCGAAUCCCUGGUGUUGUAUGUU